rnacentral:rRNA from 1 species
CCUACGGGGGGCAGCAGUGGGGGAUAUUGCACAAUGGGGGGAACCCUGAUGCAGCGACGCCGCGUGGGUGAAGGAGCGUUUCGGCGCGUAAAGCCCUAUCGGCAGGGAAGAAGAUGACGGUACCUGACCAAGAAGCCCCGGCUAACUCCGUGCCAGCAGCCGCGGUAAUACGUAGGGGGCAAGCGUUAUCCGGAUUUACUGGGCGUAAAGGGGGCGCAGACGGGAUUGCAGGCCAGGAGGGAAAGCCGGGGGCCCAACCCCGGGACUGCUCUUGAAACUGGAUGGCUGGAGUACGGGAGGGGCAGGCGGAAUUCCUAGUGUAGCGGUGAAAUGCGUAGAUAUUAGGAGGAACACCGGUGGCGAAGGCGGCCUGCUGGACUGUGACUGACGUUGAGGCCCGAAGGCGUGGGGAGCAAACAGGAUUAGAUACCCGUGUAGUC